UUUUCUAUUCUGUGGGUUCCUAUUAAUCACCCCUGUUUGCACAAAUUUGACCAACACUGUUAAAAAUAUGACAGCUUGGCUGCAAGACACCUACCUACCUAAGUUUCACAAUUUGUCCCUCAUAUCUCCUGGCCCAACCUGACUACUUGGAUCCUGAUUGCCGUGGCCUUCCUAGUGGGGCUUGUGGUUAUUAAAUGCUUGUUAGAUCACCUCAUACAAACUCAGCAGCAGGUUAAGAUCACAGCUAUGGCAGCCAUGCAAAUGGCAGCAGGUGGCCCAUCAGGCCAGCAGGCCGCCGCAUAUCUCCUUCACAUUGCAGAACAUCAGCUAUAAGAGCUGAGUGGGCAAGCCAAUGACAGGCUCCACUCAGAUAUACAUGGCCUAUAAGGCCAGGGGUCCAUUCUGGAAUCAAAUUAUUGGCAUUGAGAUGCGAGACCAAGGGUACUGCAGUGCCAUCCGCCCCAAAGGUUGGGGGGAAGGCAGGAAUGAAUGUCUAUAUGCAUCCAGGUUCGGUUCACAAAAGCCUGGCCCUGCGAAAAAAUGAACCACUCACCUUGAGCAUGGUCCUGGCGCAAGGAUAUGCACAAAACAGGGUGAUGCACAGCAGGGUAUAGACCUCUACAUUCUCUCAUGCCUCGGCCUACAAGGUAGGCCCACUCCUAGGUGUCUAACAGCAACAAGGUCAUAGACACCUUGGAGGGACCCACAGACCAUCCUAUUUUAAUAAAUAAAAAAGGGGGAGAUGUGGGAAGCCGCCUAUGAAUGGCGCCCAUUUCCUGCUUCCGGGUUCUUCCCGGCCUGAACAAGCCCGCCAAAUUGUCAUGUCUGCCCAGUUACCCGUGACGCUAGCCUAUCAGCUUGUUAGACGCGCUUCUCUGUGAUUGGAUACUGCUUCCCCUUAUAAGAGGUUGUUCCUGCCCCCAACGGGCAGAAGAGGAACCAACGUUGAGGGUGGCGGACCUUGUUAGGUCCGGUUCGCUGUACGCAAUAAAGUUUGAGAGCUGA